CAGUAACUGCAAAGUCUUGUAAAGACGACCACACAAGGGACAGCAAUGUUGUUUUUCAUUUUGACCAACAUGGAUGUGCGCUUGGUGUGCAUGUAGGGAAUUCGCUUGGCUGAAUCUAGAUGAUCAGUCAGAACAAUCAAUGGGUUUGGCACCUGAAUGUGUUCUCAGGUGGCGAUUCAAGUUUGAGGAAUGAGAGAAAUGUCGUCCGCAAACAGGACAGAGAAAACUAUGCAAACCAAAAUGUCUAGAAAUAUGAGUUUUAAGUUCAGAUUUUUUGUCAUAGGCUUUUGCGCGAAUGACCCAGCUCAACCCGGUUUGCUCUAAACUUUCCCCUGACGUUAUCAUAGCAUUCAAUGCUGCUAAUUUAACCUCAUAAGGGACAGGCUGUAAAAGGCCAAUAUCAGUCUUUUGCAUUGCUAGUUGAAGUGUAGUCCCUUAAAAAAAUUUUAAUGAUGCAAUUAAUUUUUUCCUUUAGCACAGAAAGAGCUUAAUUGGAUUACCAUUUCUACAUCUCUUGUCAAUUUGAUCUGGUAGAGGGGAAAUUAUGACACCUUGUGAAUCAGGCAGCGUUACUUGAUUGGUCAACACUGAAUUAUCAUACAGCUCACUACUACUGGGCUUCAACUCACAUUCAUGUUCCAUGUUGACUUCGAGGCUUAUUUUGUGCUUCGAAACGAUCGUGUGUGUUUCAUCAUUUGUGACAAAGAAAAAUUUACCGCAUUCGGAUUUCUUGAUCUCAGAAUUACACCAAGAGUUGUCUGAUGUUAGUGGCAAAGGAACAUUCCGAAGGAUUGUAUCAACACUAUAUCAAUCUUCAGGAAAAGAAUCCAAUCUACUGGAUUCAUAUGGAUCCAUGAUAAAUUAGUUCUUUCAUAACAACACACAACUCUUUCUUUUCGUUUCUUUCUUUUGAUUGAUUGAUUUAAGGCGCCUCCGAUGAAGACACCACACAUCUGUUUGUUUAUAACGUGAUCAGAGGAUAACGAAAAGUCUCGUCUGCUAUACUUGUGGGUGUGGCACAAAAAAAAAAAAAAAACAAGACUGGCGAAAACUCGCAGGAUUACAGCGACAGUCUUCUAUCUUGCCAGCACAGGGCGUAAGUCGUUUUUGAACGAAACAUGGGAAUCCGUAACACGAUCCUACUGAAAGAUGACGUUUGCGCCGGUAUUGGGAAGCUUGCUGUUUAUCACGGGAAAGAGAGCAGCGGCAGUCAUGUUGCAGUAGUACAUGCUGACACGGUCGAGUUGAUGGUUUUGGACAAGAGGGGAAACGUCCAACAACAACACGUUCUGGACAUUAACGCACUGAUAGUUGAUAAACCCGAUGAUAUACAAGUCCGAAAGUUUGAAAAACAAACAUUGAAGAAGUCGUAGUUGAGACAGAAGACGGUCGCGUUCAAUGGAAUACUUUUCUUUGGCAGGUAUUGUGGUGUGACGGUCAAGAGCUCACACUCAUAAUUGCCCACACCAACCAUCUACUGCAAGUUAUCUUUGACUGCUCGACUAAAACGUGGAAAGCAGAUACAGACAAGGCGUUGGAUCAGCAAGGAUGGAUCACUUCUCUAGCGUCGAUCAACGGCUAUAUAUACACAGGUAAGAGGGACAAUUCAGGUGAACGAAGAAGAAUUUUACAAAUAACCCAAACCGUUUUUUUUUUUUU